rnacentral:rRNA from 1 species
UAGGGAAUCUUCCACAAUGGACGCAAGUCUGAUGGAGCAACGCCGCGUGAGUGAAGAAGGUUUUCGGAUCGUAAAGCUCUGUUGUUGGUGAAGAAGGAUAGAGGCAGUAACUGGUCUUUAUUUGACGGUAAUCAACCAGAAAGUCACGGCUAACUACGUGCCAGCAGCCGCGGUAAUACGUAGGUGGCAAGCGUUGUACGGAUUUAUUGGGCGUAAAGCGAGCGCAGGCGGAAUGAUAAGUCUGAUGUGAAAGCCCACGGCUCAACCGUGGAACUGCAUCGGAAACUGUCAUUCUUGGGUGGAGAAGGGGAGAGUGGAAUUCCAUGUGUAGCGGUGGAAUGCGUAGAUAUAUGGAAGAACACCAGUGGCGAAGGCGGCUCUCUGGUCUGCAACUGACGCUGAGGCUCGAAAGCAUGGGUAGCGAACAGG